CCAAUCGAACCCGGAGAUAGCUGGUUCUCCUCGAAAUAGCUUUAGGGCUAGCCUCGGUGUGAGUCUUGCGGAGGUAGAGCACUGAAUUUCCUAGGGGGCGUCAAAGCCUACCGAAGAAUAUCAAACUCCGAAUGCCGUGUAGAUAUCACCGGGAGUCAGACUGCACGAGAUAAGUUGGGCGGUCAAAAGGGAAAGAGCCCAGACCUACAGUUAAGGUCCCAAAGUGCGCGUUAAGUGGAAAAGGAUGUGGGAUUUCGAAGACAACCAGGAUGUUGGCUCAGAAGCAGCCAUACAUUCAAAGAGUGCGUAAUAGCUCACUGGUCGAGAGGUCCUGCGCCGAAAAUGUCCGGGGCUGAAACGCGCCACCGAAACUAAGGAAUCUGAAAAGAUUGGUAGAGGAGCAUUGCAUGCGGGAAGAAGCAGUACCGGAAGGAGCUGUGGACUGCAUGGAAGAGAGAAUGCCGGAAUGAGUAGCGAGAUAGAGGUGGGAAUCCUCUAGGCCGAAUAUCCAAGGUUUCCAGGGUAAAGCUGAUCUGCCCUGGGUGAGUCGGGACCUAAGGUGAGGGCGAGAGCCGUAGCCGAUGGACAACAGGUUGAUAUUCCUGUACUGCAGUAUGACAGAACUGUGGGGACACGUAAGGAGAGCGGGAGCCGGGAAUGGAAAGCCCGGUACAAGCGAGGUACCAGUAUGGUAGGAAAAUCCGCCAUGCAAUGGGAAGACGUGAUGUGGAGUGAAUUUUAGUAACGAAGCCCGUGAGCCAUGCGUCAAGAAAAGCCGCUAUCGUUCAUAUUGUACCCGUACCGUAAACCGACACAGGUGGAUGAGGAGAGAAUCCUAAGGCCGGCGGAAGAAGUAUUGCCAAGGAACUCGGCAAAAUGGCCCCGUAACUUAGGGAGAAGGGGUGCCUGCGAGAGCAGGCCGCAGAGAAUAGGCUCAAGCAACUGUUUAGCAAAAACACAGGUCUAUGCGAAACCGAAAGGUGAGGUAUAUGGGCUGACGCCUGCCCGGUGCUGGAAGGUUAAGAGGAGAGGUUAGACGUAAGUCGAAGCUUUGAAUUUAAGCCCCAGUAAACGGCGGCCGUAACUAUAACGGUCCUAAGGUAGCGAAAUUCCUUGUCGGGUAAGUUCCGACCCGCACGAAAGGCGUAAUGAUUUGAGCGCUGUCUCGGCAAUACAUCCGGUGAAAUUGAAGUGCCAGUGAAGAUGCUGGCUACCCGCGCCAGGACGGAAAGACCCCAUGGAGCUUUACUCCAGUUUGGCACUGGGGUCCGGUGUUGCAUGUACAGGAUAGGUGGGAGGCUGAGAAACGGUAACGUCAGUUGCCGCGGAGCCGCUGUUGGGAUACCACCCUUGUGAUAUUGGGCUUCUAACCAGCCGCCGUAAUCCGGCGGUGGGACAAUGCCAGGCGGGGAGUUUGACUGGGGCGGUCGCCUCCGAAAGGGUAUCGGAGGCGCUCAAAGGU
rnacentral:rRNA from 1 species